UUAAAGGAAUUGACGGGACCGCACAAGCGGUGAUGAUGUGGUUAAUUCGAUGCAACGCGAAAACCUUACCACCUUUGACAUGUACGGAAUCCUUUAGAGAUAGAGGAGUGCUCGAAAGAGAGCCGUAACACAGGUGCUGCAUGGCUGUCGUCAGCUCGUGUCGUGAGAUGUUGGGUUAAGUCCCGCAACGAGCGCAACCCUUGUCAUUAGUUGCUACAUUCAGUUGGGCACUCUAAUGAGACUGCCGGUGACAAACCGGAGGAAGGUGGGGAUGACGUCAAGUCCUCAUGGCCCUUAUAGGUGGGGCUACACACGUCAUACAAUGGAUGGUACAAAGGGUCGCCAACCCGCGAGGGGGAGCCAAUCCCAUAAAGCCAUUCGUAGUCCGGAUCGCAGUCUGCAACUCGACUGCGUGAAGUCGGAAUCGCUAGUAAUCGUGGAUCAGAAUGUCACGGUGAAUACGUUCCCGGGUCUU
rnacentral:rRNA from 1 species